rnacentral:ribozyme from 14 species
AUGCGGGAAAAAAAAAUAAAGACCAAAACGAUUCUAAGAAAAAAAAGUAAGAAAAUGCGUUGAUUGUGUUUUACAUAUUUUGUUUUUU